CUUACAUUGAAUUGUGGGUGAACAUUAGGACAAUGUUAUUUUUAUAUGUUGGGAGAUAUAGUGAAGGGAGGAACAGUGAUAAAACCGUACCCAGUAUAUUAAGAGUGAACAUCUGGGCACAUUUUGAGUUUUAAAAUCUUCCUCACAAAAAAAAAUAUAAUACAAUGAAUUUUAAGAACCAAGUUAGCUUGUUUCAGCCUGCGCUAACGUCUGCAACCAUAGAGAAUACAACAAGCCCAGCUAAUCAGCCAAGAAUUGAGGAGGCCCUGUCCAACUGUGAGCCCAAAGAGAAUCAGCCAAUCUGUUUCAGACAAAGUCAAUUUACAGCGAUACCUCCACUCCACAGGGAACCCAAAGCCCAGAUGAUGGUUGUGGAUUUACUUCCUCACUAAAAAGACAACAGGAUAUGUAAUCCAGGCCCAGGAUUCCUCCAGAUGAUUGAUUGCAGGUUGGCAGGAGAUGUAAAAAGAGGUGUGUCUUCAAUUGAUGAAGGGAGAGCUGACUAAGCAGGGAUUCAGAAGGGUAAGGUGACUCAUUUCUAAUACUCCUAAUGAGUGUUUUAUUAGUUUAGUUUCAUAGACCAUAAAAUUAAUGCACACAGUAAAUUGCACUACAGUAUAUGGAUUCUGGAAGGUUUUGCGCAGUAGCAAAGCAGGCCAAAAUAAGUAAACAUAAUAUAUGUAGCCACAGCAAAUAUUUCCAAACUAUGUAACUUCUAAAACUGUCUGUGUUUUCUUCUAGAAUAUAUUGUACAACUAAUUGAAUUUCUAAUCAUUGGCCUGCCUAUGGAGUAUACAUAUAAGCCAUAGUACUACAUUUGCAACCUCACCCACUUGAUGUAAUAAAACUCUUGCCAGAAUGACUUUUACCAUGUCAGCCCCUUUAAAUGGCCAGGGCACAAGAAACCCUCAAAUUUUGCUAUAAGGUUUAAAUUGGUUGGAUGAUGCUGUUUGGUACUGGGGUUAACACCAACUAUUGCAGCUUUCAUCAACAAAAGAAAAGCCAUGUGUGUGUUGUCAAAAUCACAAAGUAAAACUGUUGACAUCCCUCAGCCUUCUUGAAUUGUGUCUCUUGCUUGGCUGGGUCAACUUAGUCCUGGGUGUGAAGUUUAUUGAUCCAUCCUGAGAAAGAGAUUGAAAGCUGCCAGUGACAGCUUAAGUCUUUCUGUCUGCCCAUUCCUUCUUUGACAAUCCAUGUGAUGAUUGUACAGUUAAAGAGUCUGACACACUGAGGAGCCAGCAGGGCACAAAAUUAGCACAAGCCACCAGCCAAAUGCUGGUAAAAUAUGCAAGUGGGUCGUAGAUUUACUUCACUCUCGAGCCACAAGAAUAAUGGUACUUUAUUGAGUGGCUGGUAAAACUUUAGCAUCCACUAGCCAUUUGGCCGAUGGACAAAAAAGUUGAUAUCCCACCCUGGGAGCCAGAGUGUAAAGGCAAGUUGAGGCAGUUAGAAAAGAGAAAAAGGCCCUUUGUGAAGUUGAUAAAGAGAAGGGGUGUUAGGAAGAGAGCGAAGAGACAAAAUUAAGCUUUAAGCAGGAGGGAGAAUUGGCAGCAAUACAAUACAGAAUGGAAUAUAGACAUAUCUUUCUGGAUCAUUCCUUUAAUUUGAAUGCAUCAUUCUUCACUUACUCACAAGUCUCCCCCAUAGCACCACUGCAAUGCUUAAUUUAAUGCGAACAACUUUAUAGAGAAUGCAUCUGCCACUUCAAAAUGAGUCUGUGAGUAAGUCGUUCUGUUUAUUUCAAUUUGUCAGUCGAAUGCAUGUCAUUUUUUAAGGGGUGAUCUGCUUUGUGCUAUUUUCUCACCCAACUUUAUUCUCUGCAUUGUGUUAUCCUCAGUCUCAGCCCCUCAGUAAAUUUUCCCACUCUUCAUCUUACUCUGGUACUCUUUUAGCUACAUUUGCCCUCCCACUGCUCUUCUUCCAACAUGACUUAAUGACAAUUCAAACAUCAUUCUGCAGAUUUUUCCACAAACACUGUAGGAUUUUAUUUUCCAUUUUAAGGUAAUUUCUUUUAGGAGCUGAUCAAUUGUAAUAUCUCCAUUGUUGAUUGUUCCGUUCAAAUUUGGCAGCUGUAUUUAUUUUAUUUAAAUAUAUAUAUAUUUAUUUAUAUAUAUAUAUAUAUUGCUCCUUUUCCCAACUAUCCUAAUGUGCUUCUAUCUUUGACUCAGUUAUGUCCAUCAUCUGUUAACACUAGUUCCUGUCCGGUGCUGCUUGUUUAGGAAUUCAUGUAUGAGACAACAUCCUACAACGUUGCAAUGCCUAAUAGUCCUCUAGAGAAGACAAAUUACUUUUGAACUGACAUUUGUUAAAAUUGACAUACCAAUAUAAUUAAAGGUUGUGUAUGCUGCUAGGACGUUUAUUGCUGCUUUAAUUUUGCUUUACUCUACCUCUCUGUGAUCAUCUACAGCAAUGAGUGAAAUCUGUUUUGUGUGCAGAUAUACAUGUUAAUCAGUCCAGCCUUGAUCUCAACACCAAUAUUUGCAGUAUAACAGUAUAACAAGAGUAUUGCAUUCCAUUUCAUCUUUAAUCUUCAGCUCCCAAUUUAAAUUUUAUGUGGAAACCUCUAUUCCCAUACUCUAUCUCCAUCCCUGUUACCUCCCUCUGUACCUUUCAAUCCCAUUCAUCAUCAGUCUUGCACAUCUGUCUAGUCUAGUGACAGUAGUGCUGGGCAGUGUGACCAAAAAAACUGUGAAUCACUGUAUUUUGUUAUGAUUCUGCACGGUAUUUAUUUUAUUUUUAUUUUUUGCAUGACUGGGCCUUUAUAUAAGUUUUAAGUGGCUUAUAACUGUCAGGAGUACAAAG
ensembl:lncRNA